rnacentral:lncRNA from 1 species
GUAGCACCAAAGGAAAUCCCCCUAUCUCUCUCUAUAACUUCCCACUAACCCAUCUCUCUAUAACUGCCCACUGCCCAUCUCUCUCCACGCCCACUUCUCAUCCUCACAUUCUCUCUCUCUAAGCGAUGGAUGAGGAAUUCUCUCAAGAUUUUGGAUUAUAGCCGUUAGAGAGGCUCCACAUUGGAUGACUCUAAUUGAUUUUAAUUCAAAAAAUCUUUAAAUCGAGCCAAAGCCCUAAUUUCUUAGUUCCUGCUGUUGUGCUGUUUCUGUUAAAUCACUUUGUCACAGAUCACAGCGACAAGCCUUAUUCGAAUUGGGAGGUAGAUUAUUGUGGUGCUCCCUCACUCCUUUUCAACUCUGUUUUAGUUCCAGAUAUUGAAGUGAAUAUUAACACGAUGUUUCUU